GUGACUGCGUGAGCGACUGCUCAGCUGUUUCGCCUGCUCGCCAUCUGCUGCUCUGCUCCUGCUCGGCUGCAGACCACUGAGACCAGGUCCAGAUGAACAAAUUAGUCGUGUCAAAAGGCCUAGAUCAAAAGAUAUCUGCACAUGGUUCAGUAAAGUUCGACCAUCAUCAUGUUCAAGUUCUUGCUAAGGUACUCCUUCUUGCUAAAAGCUUUUAUCCUCAAGAUUUUGUGCAAGAUGACUUUCUUUCUUUGGAAUUAGAGUGUGCAUAUUAUAAGAAAGAUAUGACUCAGGAUGUAGCAUUCCACACCUUAUAUUUUAUAUCUGAUUUGUGUCGGCAACUUGUUUAAAGAAGAAAAUUAGACUUCUAUCCUAUGAUCUAUAGGUUGAUUUGUUUAAGUGUUUACUCUUCUUGUUUCUACUGCAACCACUGAGAGAGCUUUUUCAUCUAUGAACAUCAUCAAAAACAAACUUAGAAACAAGAUAGAGGAUGAGUUUCUUGAUGAUUGCAUGGUGCUUCAUAUUGAAAAAGAAUUUGUUGAAGCAGUUGACAAUGAGAUGGUGAUUAAAGAUUUUGAAGCUUUAAUUUGGGGCCUCGUAGAGUACAGUUUAGUUAGUUUUUAAUUGUGUUUCUUGUAUUAUAUUGUGUCUAAUUUUUGUUCAUGUAAAUGCGUUUGAGGGUAAGAUUUGC